rnacentral:rRNA from 1 species
CCUACGGGAGGCAGCAGUGAGGAAUAUUGGUCAAUGGUCGCGAGCCUGAACCAGCCAAGUAGCGUGAAGGAUGACUGUCCUACGGGUCGUAAACUUCUUUUAUCAAGGAAUAAAGUGAGGCACGUGUGCCUUUUUGUAUGUACUUUAUGAAUAAGGAUCGGCUAACUCCGUGCCAGCAGCCGCGGUAAUACGGAGGAUCCGAGCGUUAUCCGGAUUUAUUGGGUUUAAAGGGAGCGUAGGUGGGUUGUUAAGUCAGUUGUGAAAGCCUGCGGCUCAACCGUAAAAUUGCAAUUGAUACUGGCAGUCUUGAGUACAGUUGAGGUAGGCGGAAUGCGUGGUGUAGCGGUGAAAUGCAUAGAUGUCGCGAAGAACUCCGAUUGCGAAGGCAGCUUGCUGAACUGCCACUGACGUUGAUGCUCGAAAGUGUGGGUAUCAAACAGGAUUAGAUACCCUAGUAGUC